rnacentral:rRNA from 1 species
AGAGUUUGAUCCUGGCUCAGGAUGAACGCUGGCGGCGUGCUUAAUACAUGCAAGUCGAGCGAGGACCAUUUGGUGGCAACACCGGGUGGCUCCUAGCGGCGAACGGGUGAGUAACACGUGGGCAACCUACCCCCGACUUUGGGAUAAGCCCGGGAAACUGGGUCUAAUACCGGAUACGAGCCUCCUCCGCAUGGUGGAGGUUGGAAAGGGUCUCCGGUCGGGGAUGGGCCCGCGGCCUAUCAGCUUGUUGGCGGGGUAACGGCCCACCAAGGCGACGACGGGUAGCCGGCCUGAGAGGGUGAACGGCCACACUGGGACUGAGACACGGCCCAGACUCCUACGGGAGGCAGCAGUAGGGAAUCUUGCGCAAUGGGCGAAAGCCUGACGCAGCGACGCCGCGUGCGGGACGAAGGCCUUCGGGUUGUAAACCGCUUUCAGCAGGGACGAAGCGAAAGUGACGGUACCUGCAGAAGAAGGUCCGGCCAACUUCCUUGCCAGCAGCCGCGGUA